ACGAUAACGAACGAGACCUCGACCUGCUAAAUAGUUGGACGAAUCCUUCGGGAUUUGCUUCUUUUUUUAAACUUCUUAGAGGGACUAUCGGCGCUUUAGCCGAUGGAAGUUCGAGGCAAUAACAGGUCUGUGAUGCCCUUAGAUGUUCUGGGCCGCACGCGCGCUACACUGAUACGUUCAUCGAGCUUACAACCUUGGUUGAGAGGCCUGGGUAAUCUUUUGAAACCGUAUCGUGCUGGGGAUAGAUUAUUGUAAUUUUUAAUCUUCAACGAGGAAUUCCUAGUAAACGCUGGUCAUCAGCCAGCAUUGAUUACGUCCCUGCCCUUUGUACACACCGCCCGUCGCUAAUACCGAUUGAAUGGAUAA
rnacentral:rRNA from 1 species